UCUUCAGUUCACCUUGAAAGGAAUUGGAUUAUAAAACGUUAAAUGAUUUUGUGCGUUGUCUUUUUUUUGAAACUAUUCAAUUAGUAUUUUGGUUAAUUUGUGCAGAAAUAGAACAAAAACAAAUAAACGGAAUUGAUUUCAACUUUAACAUUCAUUUGCUGCGUGUGUUAUAAUCAAAAUUUUUAACUUUUAAUUUGAAAAUCGUUACAAACAUUUCUGUAUUCAGCUUUGUAUUUGGCGUUAUUUUUUUUUGCGGAGAUAUUUUGAAUUGCAAUUUUUUAUAAUCCAAGAAAAUUUAUAAUUGAAUAAACGAAAAUCAAAAACAUGCGUCGAGCAUCUUUCACUCCUGCCUUUAAAGUCAGUGUUGACGAACCGCUCAUUGUCGUUGAUGAGACCGAAGAAAAUGAAAAUACAGCAAGCAACAAAUCAUUCGAUGACGAUGAAGACAAUGACAAAGAUUCACCAGACAAUCCUUAUCUACUUUCACCAUGGCGUGAUCCGAAGGAGACCCGAAAACAUUCUCUUCCCAAUCUCCAAUGCACCACCGGUAUACUUGCCAGCCAAGUUAGACGUUUAUCGGAUGGCGGUGAAAAUGCACCGUCGGCCAACGAGGUGGCAUUUUUGGCAAAGUUAUCUCAGGCAUCCACUUCCUCAGGUCGAAGACAUUCAGUUGUUACAAUGACUAGAGUAAAUCCAAUUGUUUUUGGCCGAAAUCGAAGAGAAUCAUUUGCAGCAUUUAAUACAGGCGAAUGUGGCGAUUUUAACUUUUCUAAUUUAGCGAAGCAUAGAGGUAGCGUUCACAAUUUACAACUGGACAUUAUGGAUGGGAUCGUACAAGUUGGGAAAGUGUGAAAAAGUUGAAACACUAGCAAUGCAUAGUUUUAAGAGCUUACAAAUGAGCGAUCGUAUAGCGAUGAUACAAUAUAGUGGAACUUGUCGACAAUCCUGUUUCCUGAAUAUUUUCCUAAUUCAGAUUGUGUCUACCAGCCCUGAAGAAAA